rnacentral:misc_RNA from 1 species
GAUGAAGAACGUAGCGAAAUGCGAUAAGUAGUGUGAAUUGCAGAAUUCAGUGAAACAUCGAAUCUUUGAACGCACAUUGCGCCCUUUGGUAUUCCAAAGGGCAUGCCUGUUCGAGCGUCAUUUGUACCCUCAAGCUUUGCUUGGUGUUGGGCGUCUUGUCUCUAGCUUUGCUGGAGACUCGCCUUAAAGUAAUUGGCAGCCGGCCUACUGGUUUCGGAGCGCAGCACAAGUCGCACUCUCUAUCAGCAAAGGUCUAGCAUCCAUUAAGCCUUUUUUUCAACUUUUGACCUCGGAUCAGGUAGGGAUACCCGCUGAACUUAAGCAUAUCAAUAAGCGGAGGA